UGCAAGUUUGUGUGCAAGGCAGUGAACUGGAAAGAUAGGGCAAAAUGACUAUAGGCGCGGGUACGCCUACACUGCCCAGGUGUGGAAAAGUGCAGGGCUGAGGGCACUCAUUUCUGUGACAGUGCGCACGUCCCGCGCUUUUACGCACGGUCUCUUUGCAGUAAUGCAUAAACGUUGUUUUGGUGUUAUGACACUUGCUUACUCGAUAUUUUACAACUAAUAAAAAAUAAGAAAUUAAAGAUGUUUACAUUUGGUUUAUGGCUAGAGCUUGUGAUAAAGCGAAUUAGAAUUCCAUUCCGAUUCUAAACAAUGUGUAAUGACGUAUUCCAUCUCUAUGCGACCGAGAGGGUCACAAUACCGACGCUUCACAUGGAACUCCAGAACCCAAGAGAUAUGUUCAGAACUCUCAAAAAAUCUUCAGUUCUUGAUCGACAAACAACGAGAGAGACAGCAUUAUUAUGGCGAGCUUUUCAUUCAUCUUCCCUGAAGACAGACAUUGUUCCGUUAAGGACAACGAAGUCAAUUCAGGGUGGAUGUCAAUGGUGACCCAGCUCAACGCCCUUGGCGGUCCAGAGUCAGAGAGUCAGAAGUUCCGUCAGAGCUUUGCAGAGGAACUUGGUGACAAGUACCACUACUCGAAUGCCAUCGACAGCUCUCUGCUCUGGACUGUUGGGUACACCCCCUACAUUCCCGCAGCUCUGAAAGGAAGAAGCUUCCCCUCUGUCGAGAGCUUCUUCCUGGAUGAGUGGGAGCCACUGACACUCCUGCAGACUCCUCAGGUUCUGUCCACCAGUGUUUCCAUCGAGGAAGACAACCUGAUCCAGUCUGCUGCAGGCCUAGUGUCUCAGGUUCUGUCCACCAGUGUUGCUAUCGUGGAGAAUGACCUGAUCCAGUCUGCUGCAGGCCUAGUGUCUCAGGUUCUCCCCACCAGUGUUGCUAUCGUGGAGAAUGACCUGAUCCAGUCUGCUGCAGGCCUAGUGUCUCAGGUUCUGUCCACCAGUGUUGCUAUCGUGGAGAGUGACCUGAUCCAGUCUGCUGCAGGCCUAGUUUCUCAGGUUCUGUCCACCAGUGUUGCCAUCGUGGAGAAUGACCUGAUCCAGUCUGCUGCAGGCCUAGUGUCUCAGGUUCUGUCCACCAGUGUUACCAUCGUGGAGAAUGACCGGAUCCAGUCUGCUGCAGGCCUAGUGUCUCAGGUUCUGUCCACCAGUGUUUCCAUUGUGGAGAAUGACCGGAUCCAGUCUGCUGCAGGCCUAGUGUCUCAGGUUCUGUCCACCAGUGUUUCCAUCGUGGAGAAUGACCUGAUCCAGUCUGCUGCAGGCGUAGUGUCUCAGGUUCUGUCCACCAGUGUUGCCAUCGUGGAGAGUGACCUGAUCCAGUCUGCUGCAGGCCUAGUGUCUCAGGAGCUGUCCAGCAGUGAUGCUAGAGUGAAGGAUCGUGAUGAUUCCACACUGAGAGACUCCAACCAACCUGAGGUCCAUGUGGCUGAUGUCUCAACCAAGAGAAGUAGACUAGUCAUCACUAUUUCUAUGUUUUCAACCGAGAGUUGCAAUGCUUCGGUCCAUGAAGUUGAUGCUAUUGCUACCAGCCUGGAGCACUCUGCUGAGAAAAUGUCUACCUCUACCGCUGAUGGCCACAUUGUUUCAUCCACUGCUGUUGCCAAUCAGAAGAAAACAAGGGGUGGAUUCGUCUCAGCUCUUCGGAGAUUGUUUACGAGAAAGAACAGGAAGCCUGUCAGUAAUACUUAUAUAGUUUUUUGUACUGUAAUAUGUUAUCAUUUAUUAACUAUUGUUAUACUAAUAUCCAGUGUUAAUGGUUGUCUUUAAAAUAUUUUUCUCUAUUGUCUACUUGUCUGUUUUUCAGGCUAAAGUGGCUUCCAAGAAGGAGCACAUUCACUUGGUUGACCGCCUCAAUGCUGAAGUCACCCACUGAGGACACUCACUCAUUGCUGAAAGCAUCCAGAAUGAUGCUUCUGUUUCUCCUCAGCGCCACCUACACCCCUGCCCCUCUCCCCCACACCAAACCCUACCAGGGUUGGGGUGAAAUCCAGAUCAAUUCAGUCAAUUCAGGAAGUAAACUGAAAUUCCAAUUCCAAUUGUUUCUCAUAGGAGGCAAUGAGGUAAAUUUGAAUUGCUAUUGGAAUUUCAGUUUAUUUACUGAAUUGACUGAAUUGAAAAUGAAUUGACCCCAACCCUGAUCCCUAAGCCCCCACCCCAUCCAUUUCUAUCUUCAGUAAAUUUUGUAGAAUUUUAUUUGAAUGUGUUUUGUAUCUUCAUUAAAACCACAAUACAUCUCUAAUGAGGGUCACUCAUGUUACACAUCUAGAUUUAUCCUCAAAUAUCGUAGAAUUCAACAAAUGCAGUGGUUUAGCAGUUCAACUUCAGUACUUGUCAAUGAGUCAUUGCACUGUGACCUUCAGAAACAUGUAACAUUGUGGAACAAUUGAAAACUUUUGCUGACAUUCUGUUACAAUGUAACUACACUGAACGAAAAUAUUAACGCAACAUGUAAAGUGUUGGUCCCAUGUUUCAUGAGCUGAAAUAAAAUCCCAGAAGUGUUCCAUAUGCACAAAAAGGUUAUUUCUCUCAAAUGUUGUGUUUACAUCCCUAUUAUUGAGCAUUUCUCCUUUGCCAAGAUAAUCCAUCCACCUGACAGGUGUGGCAUAUCAAGAAGCUGAUUAAACAUUAUGGUCAUUACACAGGUGCAUCUUGUACUGGGGAAGAUAAGAGGCCACUUUAAAAUGAGCCGUUUUGUCACACAACACAUUGCCACAGAUGUCGGAAGUUUUGAGGGAGCGUGCAAUUGGCAUGCUGACUGCGGAAAUGUUCACCAGAGUCGUUGCUAGAGAAUUCAAUGUUCAUUUCUUUACCAUAAGCUGUUUCCAAUGUGGUUUUAGCGAAUUUGGCAGACCACACUAGGGGCUGAGAAGUAUUUCUGUCUGUAAUAAAGCCCGUUUGUAGGGAACAACUCAUUCUGAUUGGCUGGGCCUGGCUCCCCAGUGGGUGGGUCUGGCUGCCAGGUGGGUGGGCCUAUGCCAUCCAAGGCCCACCCAUGGCUACACCCCUGCCCAGUCAUGUGAAAUCCAUGGACCUAAUGCAUUUAUUUCAAUUGUCUGAUUUCCCUAUGUGAACUGCACCUAAAGUAAAAUCUUUCAAAUUGUUGCAUGUUGUGUUUAUAUUUCUGUCUGCACAUUUUCUUGAGAAUUACAUGCAUUCUCACUCAUAACCUCUAGAAUAAGAAAUCAAAACAGACUCAACGUAAUAUAUUAAAGGAAUGAAAAGGGCUUUAUUCAACUGUGGCUCCUGAAGUCCCUGCACACAUUUACAUUUACAAGGUUUCAUCUUCACUGAGGACAAUCUCAGUAUUUGAUUUUUGCCGAAACAAUCAAGCAGAGACAAUGAAAAGCAAAUAAAUAAACAAAUAGAACAAACCAAACAAAAACACAGUCCCCACAUGACACAUGACACAUGACACAUGACAUGACACACGACACAAGACAUGACACAUAGCCCAAGAACCAUAUUGGUGCGUUUUUCCUAAUCAGAUGAUUACUGAUUGUGUUUGUUAUUAUAAGUUCACUGUAAUGUCCAGCGUGGUAAUAAACUAACAUGGUAAUGUAAUGUACAUGUUGUCUACUAGUCUGUAUGUACUAUCAACACUCUGGACAGUGAGCUAUGGUUUUGUGGUUGAAGGUUUAUGUGUAUAACUAGAUCUACUGUAUGGGACAACAAAAAGUACAUAUGAAUAGGGAGUUUAAGCAUUUGUAUAGUGACACGGCCUAUAAACACAAAUGAAAACACAUAUCAACACAGCCUUAUAAAUACUAAUAAAAACAUAGGCUGAAUAAUACUGAAAACUUUUGUCAAUCAACAAAGGAAGAUUAUCGAUGUGCUUUUCUGAAAACAACAACUUAUUCCCUAAAAGUACAUUUUAUUUACAUCUUCAUUUGGACUAAAUAUAAAAAUAUGUACAUUAGAGAAACAAGUAUAGUAUGUGAAUGUGUCUUCGUAUGUUUCCAGUUUGUGUUAUCAUUAUAUACACUCUAUAAUCUCAGCCCAAAAACAGAGAUCUUUUAAUACUGUAUAACACAAUGUUAUAAUGACUAGGACUGCAUUGUGAAAAGUGCCUAAAACCAAAACAUCACUACCGUACUUCAAAAGCACCUAUAGGGAGAAUAACAGUUAUUGCAUUAACACAAUAGGAAAUAAUUAUGAUGUUUGCUUCUCUUUUAAACAAUGUUGGUACUACGUAGGUAAUGGUUGGUACUACAUUCGUAAUGGUUAGUACUACGUUGGUACUGACAUUCACAACUACCUGUUUCUAUUGCAGAACUCAAUACAGGACCGUGUACAUGCAACUACAAACUGCUUGUCAUCAGCAAUCAGCACUGAGUGAUUUCCACAGUAUCACUCUCACAGUCUUCAAGUCCUCCAUUUUGGCUCUGUACAUUGUCCAUGUGUCCCAGUGCCGUGCCGUUAGUGGACUCCUGACUCAGGGGCGGGCAACUGACGUUACGCUCCAGUUCUGGGUUCAGACAGAGGAAAGUCUGGUUCUUAUCGUUAUUAUUGCUGUUGUUACUAGUAGUGGUGGUGACUACCGACUCGCUAAAGAUAGUGUCUGAGAAGACAGAGUCUAGGUUGAACUGGGUCCCGCUGAAGAGGGAUUCCUGGCAGGUGGAUUUGGGCCGAUUGGUGGCUAUCGCUGGGUCUCUGGGGGGUUUGCUUGGGGGUGGUGGUUGAUUAUCAGAGUCUGGUUCUUCUGGAUUGUUCUGCUUGUUCUGAUUCUGAUUACCCGUGUCCAUCUCCUGAUUUGGGCUCCCAUCAGAUUCCAUGAUAGGUAAGGGAUCUACUUUCGCCAUCACCCUAGUGUCACUGUUGACACUGGAUCGUCGAGAGGAACCCUCGGCUGUUGAGAUGACGCUACUGGCCCGGGGUAGAGCGGUAGGAGACCAUGGUCCUCUUAGACGCACCUCCUUCCCCAAUGGGGUGGAGAAGCAGUUAAGACACCCAGACACCGAGGAAGAUUUACCCUGGACGUAGAGCACCGUGAUCGGGGACAUGGCUGAGGCUCGGGUGGUGGUGGUCUCUGGAGCUUUGUUCAGACCUAAUCCAGAUCGAGAUAGUACGGCAACCUGCCCCUGAGCUGUUUUGGGGACAUUCCCAUUGGAAGGGCGCUGGGGGGCUCUGCUGCCGCUGGCGCACCUCCUGAGGACACUCCUGGGCCAGGGGUCCUGGGUGCUACCCACCUCCCUCCCCCUACAGGGAACUGAACCCUGGGUGUUUGCUAUGGCAAUAGGUGAAGAGUCCUUCACUCCUACCAUCUCUCUGUGUUUGUUGCUGCUGGUGUGUGUUGAGGAAGUGGAUCGCUGCUGUGCGUGUGUGGUUGGCGAGGGGUUCUGCCGUGUGUGUCGGGGGGUGGAGGUAUCGCUAGGCGGGAGGCAGGAGGAAGAGGAGCGGCGUGAUGAAGGAGGCGGCUGGACCGGGCUACUGCCGUUGGACCAGGGUUCGUUGUCUUGGCUGAGGCUGAACUCUCCGCUGCUCUGGCUCUGGGCACGGCUCGGCACGCCAUUCAGACCUGGGGGAACCGCGGAUGGAGAGAACGUCUCUUUAGGUUACUCCAACAGCAGGCUACACUCUUGAUUACAACUGUCCGGAAAAUGUAUGCAUUUUCACAAUGUAUUAUAAACACCUUUUAUGUAAAAUAAACAUAGCAUAGGCAACAAUAUAAGCUAGUAAAUGCACGUUAUAUCAUUAUUUCUGCCUAUAGAGGGCAGUAUUAUCAAGCUGUUCAGACUAAUGCCUACUUUGAGCAAAAUAAGAGAUUCACUUGAAAAAAGGCCAUGUUAACAGUUAUAUUGAUUUAUUCAUCAUUUUAACUCCUUAUAAAUCCGUAUACAUGGUCUGCAUCCCAAAUGGCACCCUAUUCUCUACAUAGGGCUCUGGUCAAAAGUAGUGCACUGUGUACUGAAUAGGGUGCCAUUUGGGAACCCUCAAAUAAUGAGUUAGCGGGAUGUUGUUUACCAUGGUUUUGUAGUUCAUCACCGUCGUCAAAGUCAGUCGCCACAGCACUGUCAUUAUAAUCCUUGUCUGUGCAACACAAAAUGGCAGGG
rnacentral:lncRNA from 8 species